rnacentral:lncRNA from 1 species
CCCUCAAUUGAUUAGUAUUGUGCCAUUGUGCUCUCUUCCCCUACAGUCUGACUGCAGGAGCUGGGUUUCCUGAUGAGAGAUGUAAAGUAGGGCCAGAGAAGUAAACACUUGGUAAGGAUAGAUGAUGAACUGUUGCUGGAUGAGUGGGCCAGAUUGGCUUGCAGCCUACUGGCCAACAAGGUAAGGGUUUGAUGACAAUUUGCUGCUGUCAAUGUUUGUGCUCAGAAAACAAAAUGAAUCGUGUCUUGCCGCUAUUAAAUGCGGAGAUACCGUUUUGUCAUUCCUCUACACCCAUGUUUGAUCUAGGCAAUUGACCUUUGUAUCGCCAGCAUCUGAAAAACCUGCCUGGAAGUGGUUACCAUCUGCUGACGUGUGUCUGUCUGGCAGUUAUCUCUCAUCAGUCCUGUGGAACAGCUACUGCCUGGGCCAGGGCCUUCAUCGGGGAGCUGACCUGGGAAAAAGCCACUGCUGCCUGAUGAGAGGGGGAGCCGAGUGCUUUGCUGCUUUACUGGGUUGCCGGGUGUGCAUCUGACGUGCGGGUCCUUUGGCAAAGCCACAUCUCAGCUGAAACUCAAGGGGAAGCAGGAGGCAAAGAGCCAGACCCAGGGCAGUGGCGCGGAAGGACCCCUUUGCGUUUUGCCUUGCCGGCAUUUUGUUCCCGCGUCUGGGAAGAAGCUCUGGAGUCCAACCACAGGGCAGCCGUGCGGCGCGGGUGCAGUGAUCCCUGAUAUCAGCAACAGGAGGGAC